UACGUAGGGGGCUAGCGUUGUCCGGAAUCAUUGGGCGUAAAGCGCGUGUAGGCGGUCCGGUAAGUCCGCUGUGAAAGUCGGGGGCUCAACCCUCGAAUGCCGGUGGAUACUGUCGGGCUAGAGUACGGAAGAGGCGAGUGGAAUUCCCGGUGUAGCGGUGAAAUGCGCAGAUAUCGGGAAGAACACCCGUGGCUAAGGCGGCUCUCUAGUACGGUACUGACGCUGAGACGCGAAAGCGUGGGGAGCGAACAGG
rnacentral:rRNA from 1 species